rnacentral:rRNA from 1 species
UACGUAGGGUGCAAGCGUUGUCCGGAAUUAUUGGGCGUAAAGAGCUCGUAGGCGGUUUGUCGCGUCUGCUGUGAAAACUCGGGGCUUAACCCCGGGCCUGCAGUGGGUACGGGCAGACUAGAGUGCGGUAGGGGAGACUGGAAUUCCUGGUGUAGCGGUGAAAUGCGCAGAUAUCAGGAGGAACACCAGCAGCGAAGGCGGUGGUCUGGGCCGACAUUGACGCUGAGGAGCGAAAGCGUGGGGAGCGAACAGG